CCGUGGAUGAUAUUUUUUGCCCUAUCCCAAACAAAACCAAUUGAGAUCAAAACCCUAAUCUCAACUCAUUCUCUUAUCUCGACUCACUGAGACUGAGAGAGAGCUCUCUUCAUCUUCUCAUCUCUCUCCCGUUUUUCGUCUGCGCAGAUCGCACGCGACGAUCGACCUUCAAUCUGUGAUUUGUAUCUCUGAGCUCGCAUCGAUCAACCUUCAUCUUCUCAUCUCUCUCGUUUUUCAUCUGCGCAGCUCGCACGUGACGAUCGACCUUCGCAAUCGACUCUCUCUCUCCGGCGACUGUGGGAUUUGGGAGGACAUUCAUUCUGGAAAGCUAUAAACAGUUUCAAUAAGCUGCACCAAAUACGGUCUUUGUUUAAUUCCUCAAUGGUUUGAGUCCUGUUAAACAUUAUGUUGAAGUAUUAGAUGUCUCUUCCACAAAGCUAAGUUAAGUAAUCCCGGUUAGCGUCUUUGCAACUUCCUUGCAUUUAUUUGUUCAAGAUGGAACCUAGAGAAAGUUCACUUUUUGUGCUAUCGUGAGAAUCGUGGUUUUGCUGAUCUGGGCUUGUCCCUUGUUGGUGAAGUCUUAAUAUCAGUUUCACAAGGAUGGAAAGAUAGCCCCCCAAUAUUCCUAAUGCUGUGGGAUGGGAACUUAACAGAGGGAAGAAGUUAUUAAGAUGUAUUAGCCUAGCUAAAUCAAUGGAUCUGACUAGAUUAUAGGUUAAUUACGCAUACAGAAACGCUUCAAAUAUCAGAAUAUUUUUGUCAAUCCAAUCUGAAGACAAGGAAAAGCUAUUGUUCGGCAAGGAAAACUUUACUGCAUGACCUUUUGACAUUUCUGCAAUGUCAGGGUUACUUAAUGUAUAGUCCUCCUUUACAUAACCUCUUUAUACAUAAAAUGAUGUUGAGAGUGUUAGCCAUAUAGUUGUUGGAUCUUUAGGUUC